GACGCACGAUCGCUCGUGGUCAGUACCGAGUUCAAUGUCAAUAUCAGAGGAACCGCAAUUGCCAUCACACAACCGGGUUUCGCAAUCACAGUUCUUGGAUAUUCGGCGAACAUAAUAUAGAUUUCCGUACGCGACAAAUUUUAUUCUUUUUCCGUUACCACAGUUUUCCGUCGUUCUAUCGUCGAUAACUGUAAUUUACGCGACGGUUUGUUUUGGAGUUUUUCGUCGGUUUAUAAUAAUAUAAUAUAAGUAGAUACUUACGCGUUUUCGUAUCGUCCGUCCAACAUGUACCCGAAUCCGUGGAUCAGAAAACACUCUACCAUCAGACAGGUGAUCGACAAGCUGCUGUCGAUCAACUCGAACAAGACGAGGAAGUUCGACGCGAUGCUGAACAAGAAAAAGCACACCGGGAGUAACAGGACGACGGCGACGGCGGCGGUGGACAAGCGACGCAAACAUUAGCCUCGGCCGGGCCUGAAAUCCGAUCAGCGGUAUUUUUUUUCGCGCACGGCCGUGAAGACUGUAGACUAACGCUAUUAGAAAAUGUCCGUCCGAAAAUGUUCCUACUUAUAUAUAAUAUAUUAUUGUAUCAAACAUGAUAUUUGUGAUGUCAGAGAGACACUCUGCGGCUCCCUCGACCGCCGAAGAAUAUAAUAUAAUAUAUACCUAUAUGGCAUUUAUAAUAUACGUUUACCACACGUUUCGUACCCUCGUAUCGUGUUAUAACUAUAGUAUAGUAUUAUAUAGCUGUAUAAUAUAAAAUAAUCACGGCUACAAAAGAAGACACCAUAUAUUCAAUAUUAUGAUAAAUGAUAACGAUUAUAUAUACGCCGAUUGUAAAUAUAUAUUUAUAUAAUAUGCCGCACCAGUAUACACCACUACGUCUCACAUGAGUUCGCGAGCUGUUUGUUGGUCGUCCGGAUAUAUAAACAGUACAACGUCUGGAUCGUGAUAAAACCAUAUUGUUAUAAUAUGUACCCAUAUGUACGUAUUCUGUUGGUCCAAAUUACCGUAAAUUUAGUCAAAACGGAUUUGGACUAUUAUGUAUCCAUAAUCAUCAUCAUCAUCAUCAUAUUAAGCCGAUGACCGAGCAGGUGGAUUCGCGUUCCACGAAAAUGUGAACGACGACACAUCGUCCAGAGCUAGUCGAUUUACGUAAUAACAGAUUAAAAUUGUAUUGUGAUAUACAGUUAAGUCAGAAAAUGCAUUGGAAUUACGAAUACUACUUGAAGAUGUAUACUACUACUUUUUAUUUAUACUGUUUUCGACGUAUGUGCUCGUAAUAUUGUUUUUUUAUUUUUACGUGUAAUAUUUGUAUUAUUUUAUUAAUUUUAUUGUAUUUGUAUAAAAUU